rnacentral:tRNA from 1 species
ACGGACUUAAAAUCCGUUGGCUUUAUUGACCGUGAGGGUUCAAGUCCCUCUACCCCCA